UACGGGUUCUUUUUUGAUAUCUUUGAAUUUGGAUUAUAUUGUACUUUUUAUUAUUAUUUUGAAUUGUCUUUAACAAUUUUUUAGGAGUGGAAUUUGUUUAAAUUUAAAUUACAAAAAGUUUGUAUUUUUUUUAUUUAAAAAAAUGUAAUUAAAUGAGCUAGUGAGCCAACCCGUUUACCCACCAACCCGUGGUGGAUCGGGCCGGG
rnacentral:lncRNA from 1 species